GACGAACGCUGGCGGCGUGCUUAACACAUGCAAGUCGAGCGGAGCGGCGAACGGGUGAGUAACGCGAGAGUAACUGCCCCCCUCGCUGGGUUAACAGUUGGAAACGGCACCUAAUACCGGAUAGUGGGGGAUGUAUCGCGUCCUAUCGGCUUGUUGGUGGGGGAGUGGCUUACCAAGGCGACGACGGGUAGCCGGCCUGAGAGGUGGACCGGCCACAGUGGUCUGAGAGACGGCGCAAACGCCAACGUGAGGCAGCAGUGGGGAAUAUUGCACAGUGGGGCAGCCCCUGAGGCAGCAACGCCGCGUGCGGAAGGACGGCCUGCGGGUUAUGAACCGCUUUCAGCCAUGACGCGGUAGUUGCAGAAGAAGCACCGGCUAACUACGUGCCAGCAGCCGCGGUAAUAC
rnacentral:rRNA from 1 species